rnacentral:tmRNA from 1 species
GGGGAUAAUUGGUUUUGACAGCAGGUUGAACAGGUAUGUAAGCACGCCGAGCACUGCAGAGACGCUCGUUAAUAUCGUCUGUAAAAUUAUAACUGGCAACUACAAUGUAGCUCUCGCCGCUUAAUCGAAGUAUAGUAGAUUAGCUUAGCGUCGGUACAAGGUACUGACCCGAGACGUCACUCCAAGCCGAGUCUGUGGGCUGAAUGGGUAUAGUGGCGCGGAAAUUCACAGAAUAGGUGUCGUAGGCUGCGAUGCGAUGCUGAAGAUUUAGCAGAUAAGGCGAUAGUUGGUGGCUUGGGUCUUGCUAUCGCACGAAAAUCAAGGCCAAGAUAAGCGUGUAGAAAGCAUAUUGGUUCCUUGUUUGGACGCGGGUUCGACUCCCGCUAUCUCCAC